rnacentral:rRNA from 1 species
UACGUAGGGGGCUAGCGUUGUCCGGAAUCAUUGGGCGUAAAGCGCGUGUAGGCGGUCCGGUAAGUCCGCUGUGAAAGUCGGGGGCUCAACCCUCGGAUGCCGGUGGAUACUGUCGGGCUUGAGUACGGAAGAGGCGAGUGGAAUUCCUGGUGUAGCGGUGGAAUGCGCAGAUAUCGGGAGGAACACCCGUAGCGAAGGCGGUUCUCUGGGCCAAUACUGACGCUGAGGAGCGAAAGCGUGGGGAGCAAACAGG